UCAUACGAGUGCAGGCCAUGGACACCACCC
rnacentral:piRNA from 1 species